AUGCACCACGCGUGUACUCCGGUUCACAGCGCGCCGUCCAGACGCAACUGAAAUCUGCUCACCGGGUUCUGUCAGCC
rnacentral:sRNA from 1 species